ACGGGGUAGGAAUACGUAGGUAACGUACCCUCGGGGCGAGGACAGCCACGGGAAACUGUGGGUAAUACUCGAUAAACUUCCCAAUCAUUAUCGGAGGGGAAGCAAUGGGUGUGAUUCCACCUGAGGAGCGGCUUACGCAGUAUCAGCUAGUUGGUGAGGUAACGGCUCACCAAGGCUACGACGCUUAGGGGGUGUGAGAGCAUGGCCCCCACCACUGGCACUGAGACACUGGCCAGACACCUACGGGUGGCUGCAGUCGAGAAUCUUCGGCAAUGGACGCAAGUCUGACCGAGCGACGCCGCGUGUGGGAUGAAGGUCUUCGGAUUGUAAACCACUGUCAGAGGGGAUGAAGUAUACGAGAGUUAUCUCUUGUAUUUGACAGAGCCUCAGAGGAAGCACGGGCUAAGUUCGUGCCAGCAGCCGCGGUAAUACGAACUGUGCGAACGUUAUUCGGAAUCACUGGGCUUAAAGGGUGCGUAGGCGGUUAUCUAAGUCAGGUGUGAAAUCUCUCGGCUCAACCGGGAAACUGCGCUUGAAACUGGGUGACUGGAGUGAUGCAGGGGUGUGUGGAACUUCCGGUGGAGCGGUGAAAU
rnacentral:rRNA from 1 species